rnacentral:rRNA from 1 species
AUUGAACGCUGGCGGCAGGCCUAACACAUGCAAGUCGAACGAGUGGCGGACGGGUGAGUAAUGUCUGGGAAACCGCCUGAUGGAGGGGGAUCACUAGUGGAAACGGUCUCUUAUACCGCAUUCUCUCAGUUGUCCCCAUAUGGGAUUGGCUGGUUGGUGGGGGAACGGCUCACCAAGGCGACGAUCCCUAGCGGGUCUGAGAGGAUGACCAGCCACACUGGAACUGAGACACGGUCCAGACUCCUACGGGAGGCAGCAGGGGGGAAUAUUGCACAAUGGGCGCAAGCCUGAUGCAGCCAUGCCGCGUGUAUGAAGAAGGCCUUCGGGUUGUAAAGUACUUUCAGCGGGGAGGCGUUACCCGCAGAAGAAGCACCGGCUAACUCCGUGCCAGCAGCCGCGGUAAUUC